rnacentral:rRNA from 1 species
UGAGUAACACGUGGGUAACCUGCCUGUAAGACUGGGAUAACUCCGGGAAACCGGAGCUAAUACCGGAUAGUUCCUUGAACCGCAUGGUUCAAGGAUGAAAGACGGUUUCGGCUGUCACUUACAGAUGGACCCGCGGCGCAUUAGCUAGUUGGUGGGGUAAUGGCUCACCAAGGCGACGAUGCGUAGCCAACCUGAGAGGGUGAUCGGCCACACUGGGACUGAGACACGGCCCAGACUCCUACGGGAGGCAGCAGUAGGGAAUCUUCCGCAAUGGACGAAAGUCUGACGGAGCAACGCCGCGUGAGUGAUGAAGGUUUUCGGAUCGUAAAGCUCUGUUGUUAGGGAAGAACAAGUGCGAGAGUAACUGCUCGCACCUUGACGGUACCUAACCAGAAAGCCACGGCUAACUACGUGCCAGCAGCCGCGGUAAUACGUAGGUGGCAAGCGUUGUCCGGAAUUAUUGGGCGUAAAGGGCUCGCAGGCGGUUUCUUAAGUCUGAUGUGAAAGCCCCCGGCUCAACCGGGGAGGGUCAUUGGAAACUGGGAAACUUGAGUGCAGAAGAGGAGAGUGGAAUUCCACGUGUAGCGGUGAAAUGCGUAGAGAUGUGGAGGAACACCAGUGGCGAAGGCGACUCUCUGGUCUGUAACUGACGCUGAGGAGCGAAAGCGUGGGGAGCGAACAGGAUUAGAUACCCUGGUAGUCCACGCCGUAAACGAUGAGUGCUAAGUGUUAGGGGGUUUCCGCCCCUUAGUGCUGCAGCUAACGCAUUAAGCACUCCGCCUGGGGAGUACGGUCGCAAGACUGAAACUCAAAGGAAUUGACGGGGGCCCGCACAAGCGGUGGAGCAUGUGGUUUAAUUCGAAGCAACGCGAAGAACCUUACCAGGUCUUGACAUCCUCUGACAACCCUAGAGAUAGGGCUUUCCCUUCGGGGACAGAGUGACAGGUGGUGCAUGGUUGUCGUCAGCUCGUGUCGUGAGAUGUUGGGUUAAGUCCCGCAACGAGCGCAACCCUUGAUCUUAGUUGCCAGCAUUUAGUUGGGCACUCUAAGGUGACUGCCGGUGACAAACCGGAGGAAGGUGGGGAUGACGUCAAAUCAUCAUGCCCCUUAUGACCUGGGCUACACACGUGCUACAAUGGACAGAACAAAGGGCUGCGAGACCGCAAGGUUUAGCCAAUCCCAUAAAUCUGUUCUCAGUUCGGAUCGCAGUCUGCAACUCGACUGCGUGAAGCUGGAAUCGCUAGUAAUCGCGGAUCAGCAUGCCGCGGUGAAU